UCGAUCGACGGGGAUUCUGGGAGCUGUAGUUUGCCGGGAAGUGCGGCGCGCGCAGAACUCUGCCGCGCGCCUGCGCCUGCCAAGAGGAAGGCGCGGGUAGAGCCGGGCUCCGAGAAGGUCGCCGUGCAGGUGGUGGAGACAUAUAGGAGUUACCGUAGGCGAAUAUUCCCAACUGCAGGGUGGAAAGCCUUCAUCAAUCCUUGGGAAACCUGGGACUUCAUUUAUAGGCCAGAAGAGGAUCGUUGAAACCGGCUGCUUUCAAAUCAAAAAGACCAGCAAAACCUCCAAGAUCAACAUCACAGCCUGUUGGAGAGAAAAUUAAUUACUUGCUGCAUUUCAACAGCAAAGAGUUGAUCAAGAAAGCAGAUAUUAAAGGGAACUGUGCAAGGGCAGUGUGAUCACUGAUUGAGAUGUCUGUGAAAAGAAAAAAGAAACAAACCCACCUUGUUUAUAAAAACAUUCUUUAAGUUAACUGUCUAUCUGAAAUGUAAGUACUAUACUUUGGUAUGCCUAUUAAUUGUUGGUUUUCUUUUACUGGUACAGAUGGGUUUCACCAUGAGAAAUUCAGAGCACAGUACAUCAGGCUAACCAACAAAGCUCAGUUCUCUGCUUUGUUAUCACUACAGUGAUAGCAGAGAACUGAGUAAGUUUUCCAAGAGCUAUACUUUCUUGACUAUGGUGUUCAUGUUGCCAGUGCUGAUUGUAAACAAAAAAGUGUACCAGAGAAUAUACUCAGAAACUGGUCUUUUAAAUGUCAUUCAUUCAAGAUUUACUGAGAACUGCUAUAUGCUAGAUACUGUCCUAGUCACCAGGUUAAGAUGUAAACACAAACAGGGUCCCUAUAUUUAAGAUGCUUAUAUUUCACUGUGGGAAUGUUGAGUUAUAAAUAUCCAAGCAAAAUAAUACAAAGUGUGAACAAUUAGGCAAAUCUGAUGUGAGGUAAACUGGGAGGCUAUUUCUGAUUAAGCCAGAAAGGGUCUCUUUGCAAAGACGUUUAAGCUAAGAACUGAAGGAUGACUUUUAAGACCUAGCUCACUUCUCCAAUGUACAAGCCAGGUAAAUUUUCUUUCUUGAUGGGAGUUCUAAGUAGUAGUAGGAUCAACCAUAUAUUAAUCAUGAGUAGGUUCUAUAGGCGCUCUUCUGCUUCACUGUUAUUUGGGCCACCAUUCUUAAGCUGGCUGAAGUCUCUGUACACAUAUGUGGUAUUUGUGAUGUGUAGGGGAUAAGUGCAGAAAAGGCAGAGUUCUCAAUCUACAGGAACUGCCUGAGUGGGAUAAGGAUGGAGUACCAUGCACUCUGGGUUAGUAGCUGCAAACACAACUGGGCUGAACAGAGCCAACUACCUCAGCACAGCAAAGGGUGGCAAGAGGAAGAUGACACACCUAACCUGUCACUACAAGUGAUAGCAGCCUCAUGACAAUAUUGGGAGAUUUUCAUGGGCUGGUCUGUAUAACAUCAAUUGCAUCUAGAUAAAAUGUGCCAUUUCUUUAAAAAAAAAAUACAAUACCUCACUCCCAGAGUUAAGAUCCCAGGGAAGCAGAUAUUUUCUUAUCUUUUUCUUAUUAUUUUUGCUCCUAUGUACACAAUUAUCUUCUCCCAGUUGGUACCUUGCUGGGUCUAUGUUCUCUCCAUAAAUAUUAUGUGCCACGUAGGGUACUAGGCACAUUGCACACAGUGCAAAAUAAGACAGGAGACACGGGACUUCCCUGGUGGUGCAGUGGUUAAGAAUCUCCCUGCCAAUGCAGGGACACUGGUUUGAGCCCUGGUCCUAGAAGAUCCCACAUGCCGCGGAGCAACUAAGCCCAUGCACCACAACUGCCGAGCCUGUGCUCUAGAGCCCGUGAGCCACAACUACUGAAGCCUGUGCACCUAGAGCCUGCGCUCUGCAACAAGGAAGUCACCGCAAUGAGAAGGCCAUUCACCGCAACAAAGUGUAGACCCCGCUCGCCACAACAAGAGAAAGCCCACGCGCAGCAACAAAGACCCAUCGCACCCAAAAAUAAAUAAAUAAAUUUAUUUAAAAAAAGACAUGCGACUUCCUUGCCCUCAUGCAGUUUACAUUCUAGAGCUUAUGUUCUAGGAGGGAAAUGAAGAUAGGAGACAGACAAAAGUAAAAGAAGAUACAGAUAAUAGUCCAUGAUUGAAAACAAAUGAAUUGGGGGGUGAA